rnacentral:rRNA from 1 species
GACGAACGCUGGCGGCGCGCUUAAUACAUGCAAGUCGAGCGAGAACCAGUCCUUCGGGACUGGGGAAAGCGGCGAACGGGUGAGUAACACGUGGGUAAUCUGCCCUCGGCACUGGGAUAGCCCGGGGAAACCCGGAUUAAUACCGGAUAGCCUUUCGAGCCUUCGGGCUCGUCAGAAAAGGUGGCUUCGGCUUCCGGCUGAGGAUGAGCCCGCGGCGGAUUAGCUUGUUGGUGAGGUAAUGGCUCACCAAGGCUCCGAUCUGUAGCUGGUCUGAGAGGACGAUCAGCCACACUGGGACUGAGACACGGCCCAGACUCCUACGGGAGGCAGCAGUAGGGAAUCUUGCACAAUGGGCGCAAGCCUGAUGCAGCGACGCCGCGUGAGGGAUGACGGCCUUCGGGUUGUAAACCUCUUUCAGCAGGGACGAAGCGAAAGUGACGGUACCUGCAGAAGAAGGACCGGCCAACUACGUGCCAGCAGCCGCAGUAAAAC